rnacentral:tRNA from 2 species
GCACCUGUAGCUCAAUUGGACAGAGCUUCUGACUUCGGAUCAGAAGGUUGCAGGUUCGAGUCCUGCCAGGUGCGCCA